rnacentral:tRNA from 1 species
AUUUAUCUAGUAUAUUAUAGUAUCAUUGACUUCCAAUCAAUAGGUUUGAAAAAUCAAGAUAAAAA